CACAAAUCAACGACUCGGUCGGGAUUGCACAAGCCGCUGGCAACGACGUACCUGCAAAUAGUAUCAAUACAUUCACAUGCAUCUCAUACAUCACAUGCAUUUAAAACUACGAAUCUACCCCACGGAACGGUCGCUCCGAGAUUCUAACUUUGUUACGUGCCACGUCCGCAGUCGAUGUCGUGGACGUCGUCCAACUAGUCGUAAAGUGUACACGUAGGCGAAGUAGUCGUUCACGGCUCCGUGUACGUAGUCGUGCUCAGCUACUCGUCCGGCUCUGGGUCUCCGGCACACGACAGCAACACACCGCAGCAGCAGCACAGCGGGACAGAGAGAGAGAGAGCGGCAGCAGCAGCUAGGGACAGAGCAGGAGGGUCUCGGGCUGCACAGGUGAGCCGAGUUGGGCUUGGCCACGGGCUGGAGGGAGAUGGGUCAGAGGGAGCUCGGCUUGGGCCUAGGAGGAGGGAGGUGGGCCUGGCUCGGGCGACGGCAGGCGGCCAGGAGGCAGCAGGCGAGGCGGCGCUCGGGGAAGGGGAGGCGGAGCGGGAGGAGGCGCUGCCGGCGGUGAGGUCGACGGCGCGGGGGAGCAAGGGCAGGCGGCGCCGGCGGGGAACUAGAGGGUGGCAACCGGCUGCGAGGGAGCUCGGCGGCGCUCAGUGACGGAGACAAGGGGGGCGCUGGUGGGCUCCAAUGUUGAACUUCUUCUAUUUGCCCCCUCUAUGCUCAAAUCCUGGCUCCGUCCCUGGCUGCGCUGCUGGAGGCGAAGUGGAGGGGCAGGUCGGCGGAGCUUGGGCCAGAGGUCGACGUCGUGGGGAGCACAGGAUCGGCGGAUGCAGAGGAGCUCGCCGGCAAGCUACCCGCGGCGAGGUGGGGCGCAACAGAGAGGCGCAGGGGAGAGGGAGCUCGAGGGGAGAGAGAGCCAAA
rnacentral:lncRNA from 1 species